UACGUAGGGGGCAAGCGUUGUCCGGAUUUAUUGGGCGUAAAGAGCGUGUAGGCGGUCAGGUAGGUCCGUUGUGAAAACUCGAGGCUCAACCUCGAGACGCCGAUGGAAACCAUCUAGCUAGAGUCCGGAAGAGGAGAGUGGAAUUCCUGGUGUAGCGGUGAAAUGCGCAGAUAUCAGGAAGAACACCCGUGGCGAAGGCGGCUCUCUGGUACGUGACUGACGCUGAGACGCGAAAGCGUGGGGAGCGAACAGG
rnacentral:rRNA from 1 species